UGGGGAAUUUUGGACGAAUGGGCGAAAGCCUGAUCCAGCAAUGCCGCGUGUGUGAAGAAGGCCUUCGGGUUGUAAAGCACUUUUGUCCGGAAAGAAAUCCUUGGCUCUAAUACAGUCGGGGGAUGACGGUACCGGAAGAAUAAGCACCGGCUAACUACGUGCCAGCAGCCGCGGUAAUACGUAGGGUGCAAGCGUUAAUCGGAAUUACUGGGCGUAAAGCGUGCGCAGGCGGUUUGCUAAGACCGAUGUGAAAUCCCCGGGCUCAACCUGGGAACUGCAUUGGUGACUGGCAGGCUAGAGUAUGGCAGAGGGGGGUAGAAUUCCACGUGUAGCAGUGAAAUGCGUAGAGAUGUGGAGGAAUACCGAUGGCGAAGGCAGCCCCCUGGGCCAAUACUGACGCUCAUGCACGAAAAGCGUGGGGAGCAAAACAGGAUUAGAUACCCCUGGUAGUCCACGCCCUAAACGAUGUCAACUAGUUGUUGGGGAUUCAUUUCCUUAGUAACGUAGCUAACGCGUGAAGUUGACCGCCUGGGGAGUACGGUCGCAAGAUUAAAACUCAAAGGAAUUGACGGGGUCAUAGCUGUUUCC
rnacentral:rRNA from 1 species